GGGGCUGCGGAAUUUUGGAAGCGCAGAAGUUUUCUCCUCCUGUCCUGUAACUGGUUUUCACUCACUCAACUGAGAGAUUUCUUUGUUGCAAUGAUGGGGUCUAAGAUAACACUUCUGGAGGCUGCAGGCGAGAAACACAGCUGAUAUCAUCUUUUAUUGUGUGUUGUUAUUUGCCUAGCAUUAUAAAUUAAGGAGGAAUAGUAACAAAGAGCUUGAAGACAUGCACAGCUCACAGGCCCCGGGUGGAGGCUGGCGACAUCAGACAGACAGAACCAAGACAUCUGAGGGGCAACCAGGAGGUGCGUGUGGCUGCAGAGCACACAGACUUGUCUUUGGACAAAAUUGAGAAGAACUCAUAAACUUGGCUUCCUCGCUUCUGCUCCUCAGCUGGUCCUAUAGUACCCCUCCUCAGGAAUGUCUCCCCAGUGCAAGGACAAAGACUGAAGAGACUGCUAUAUUGAUGGACUCUCAAGCCAACUAUGAAGUUGAAACAA
rnacentral:lncRNA from 1 species